GGCCGCCUUUCGCUAUGGUUUACAGUUGGAUCCUGGGUCGUAAGGCCCUUCGGGGAACACUAGCGUGCAACGGGUGAGUAACACGUGGGUGACCUGCCCUCAGCUCUGGGAUGGCCUGGGGAACUGGGCCUAAUCCGGGCCAUUACCUCCUAUCGCGAGUCGGGUUAAGGAAAGUUUUUCGGCUGGGGAUGGGCCCGCGGCCUAUCAGCUUGUUGGUGGGGUGAUGGCCUACCAAGGCGGUGACGGGUAGCCGGCCUGAGAGGGCGACCGGCCACACUGGGACUGAGACACGGCCCAGACUCCUACGGGAGGCAGCAGUGGGGAAUAUUGCGCAAUGGGCGGAAGCCUGACGCAGCGACGCCGCGUGGGGGAUGACGGCCUUCGGGUUGUAAACCUCUUUCGCCGGGGACGAAGCUUUUGUGACGGUACCUGGAGAAGAAGCACCGGCCAACUACGUGCCAGCAGCCGCGGUAACACGUAGGGUGCGAGCGUUGUCCGGAAUUAUUGGGCGUAAAGAGCUCGUAGGCGGUGUGUCGCGUCGGCCGUGAAAACCUGGGGCUUAACUCUGGGCGUGCGGUCGAUACGGGCAUCACUGGAGUUCGGCAGGGGAGACUGGAAUUCCUGGUGUAGCGGUGAAAUGCGCAGAUAUCAGGAGGAACACCGGUGGCGAAGGCGGGUCUCUGGGCCGAUACUGACGCUGAGGAGCGAAAGCAUGGGGAGCGAACAGGAUUAGAUACCCUGGUAGUCCAUGCCGUAAACGUUGGGCGCUAGGUGUGGGGACCAUUCCACGGUUUCUGUGCCGCAGCUAACGCAUUAAGCGCCCCGCCUGGGGAGUACGGCCGCAAGGCUAAAACUCAAAGGAAUUGACGGGGCCCGCACAAGCGGCGGAGCAUGUGGAUUAAUUCGAUGCACGCGAAGAAC
rnacentral:rRNA from 1 species